CGCGUAGGCGGUCGGGUAAGUCGAGUGUGAAAUUCCGGGGCUCAACCCCGCGAACUGCAUUCGAUACUGCUCGACUAGAGAGAGGUAGGGGCGAGUGGAAUUCCCGGUGUAGCGGUGGAAUGCGUAGAUAUCGGGAAGAACACCGGUGGCGAAGGCGGCUCGCUGGGCCUUUUCUGACGCUGAAGCGCGAAAGCGUGGGGAGCAAAC
rnacentral:rRNA from 1 species